rnacentral:rRNA from 1 species
UACGAAGGGUGCAAGCGUUACUCGGAAUUACUGGGCGUAAAGCGUGCGUAGGCGGUUUGUUAAGUCUGUCGUGAAAGCCCCGGGCUCAACCUGGGAAUGGCGAUGGAAACUGGCGAGCUAGAGUACGGUAGAGGAGAGUGGAAUUCCCGGUGUAGCAGUGAAAUGCGUAGAGAUCGGGAGGAACACCUGUGGUGUAGACAGCUUACUGGACGGUGACUGACGCUGAGGCACGAAAGCGUGGGUAGCAAACAGG